rnacentral:snRNA from 1 species
UUACCCGCAUUAGGGGUAAUCGCAAGGGUCAACCACUCCGCAGUGCAAUGGAGUAGCCUCGCCCUGGGGGAACCGCCUAUUUG